AAACCAUCAAGCCCAGCUUGGUCUUGGACGCGGUCGAGUGACCCGUCCGUAACCCGUUGGCGGUACAGUCCGGCUUCAAGCGUAGCAAAAAUUUCGCUUCAGGAGUCCGCGGCGGUGCCCGCCAGGUAAUUACAUCCCAAA
rnacentral:misc_RNA from 1 species